rnacentral:lncRNA from 1 species
UUCUGGAUGUUUUUACUUAUAGGAGUUGACUUGAAAUUGUCCACUUGAAUUGAUAAGAGAAUUAAAAUUCAAUUCAUUUUGAAUUAUAGUAAUUGGCCUAUAUGAGGGUUUUGAAUGUAUCUAUUGACAAGGAUAAUUCUAGAUGGAUGUGCUCAAAGUAAAAUCAUAGAGCUUAUAUCUUGGUGGAAUUUCUUGUAAAUCUUUGAAC